CGUCCUGUUUUCUCCUCUGGUUUCCUCAGUGCUGGCACUCAGGGACUGGGGACUGUACAACCACGUCACUCUCCCAGCACUGCCCGGAGUUUCUUCCAGCUUUCCCCAUUCUUGCUGUCGGUGACACAGUUGGUGAAUUGGCCCAGCCCCCGCCAAGGCCAUGGGGUUUGAUUAUGAUCUUGGGAUCUGAUUCCAGAACCACUCUGAACACUUUGCUUCUGUCCUGAGACAGACACAUGAGAGAAGAAACCUAUCCUCCACGCUUCCAGCUUCUGUUCACUCCUCUACCUCAGUAAGUUGGGGCCAGCCGCCCAGCUCCCCAGAAAUGCGCUCUCUGCCUCUUUGGUUCUUUCGGGAGGAUGACUGGGUUUUGGUAUCAGCACGCAGGAUGCACGCUCUUUCGGUCCUGCCCCAGCUGAAGGUCUUUGUGGCGGAGACACCAUUGGCUCAUCGAGAUGCCUUCCUAGCAGGUCCUCAUGCUUCUUUGCUCCCUGCUCCUCUCCCAGCCUCGCCCAACCGCCGCUUGAACGUCGGUUUCCCUUCCCUGCGCACUGGGCAGCCCCCUUCUCCCACAAUCCCUCUGAGAUGGUUUCGUUCACACUGGGGUGUUGACUGUCGCCUCUGGGCUUGUGGAUCUGCCAGGGGUGCAUCACCAUGCCAGCUUCUUCUCCUAAACCUCAGCAUCUCUAUCCCGAUGCCUGCCGGACAUAACUAGUCAUCCCUGCACAGGUGCAUGGAAUUCAGGACGUGCAAAACUAACCCAGCACCUUCUUCCCCAAACUCACAGCUCUUCUUUGUGUCCCCUCUCCAUUAACCAAGCACCCAAGGCAGAAGCACGAACAUCUUCCUAGACCUCGAAGGUUCUCCUCCGUCCACUGCAUUCCCCAUGCAGUCAGUAGGUUCUGCGGACUUUGUCUCAUCACUGCCUCUCCUCCUCUGCUGCCGCAUCCUGAUCCAGGCCCUUAUCACCUCCCUGGGCUAUCUUGUCCUCUGGUUUUGUCCUCCAUGAAGCCAUCCUUCUCUCUGUAGCCAUGUCUAAAAUUCCCACAUGUUACCAUGUCUCCCUCCUUGAAAUCCUUGAGUGGCAUCGUGUCACCCCCAGAGUUAUCCCCAGCUCCUUCGAGGGCUGCCCAGCUCUUUGUGGCUCUUUUCUCCAGACCCAUUUCCAGACGUUCUGUGUCUGCUUUCCCUUCUCCUAGUACCUUCUUGGCAUUCAGGGAGCAGUCCAUGUGCUUUCAUGUUUCUGUGCUUGUCUUGGGCUGUUCCUUUCCAUGGACUUCACACCUUAGCUCAGAUUUGAUGCCAUAUGUUGUUCCGGCCUUCCUCGUCCUCAGUCACUGAAGUUCCUGCUGACAGCUAUGUCUCCCUCCUGCUGUGCCUGCCCCCAAUGCUGAGGAGCCUUGUGCGUUCCUCGCGGAAUCGCCUCCAUCUCGGUUCACACUUACAGUGACCGUGUGGUCCUUGUCACCAUUCUGUGGAUGAGGAAACUAAAGCUCAGAAGCUAAAUACAUACUUUGCUCAAUGUCAUGUAGCAGCUGUAACCGUAGAGCUGGGGUUUUUGUUAGUGUGUAUACAUGCUAGUUCUGCAUCCAGAAUGAAAGUGUCACUUGCAGUUGUAAAUUGGGAAAUACUCACUUUACCAAAGUUGGCUGUGGUUUUUUGAGCUAGUAGAAAGAACAGUGGAGCUGGGAGAAUAGGAUGAAGGCCAUCAAAUCAUACCAAUUUCCAGCUGUAAGAUAAAUAUGUACUAAAGUUACAGUGUACCCUGUGACAGAUGUAAUUAAGGCAGCUCUAGGUUAUACAUCAAAUAAGAAAGUAAAUCCCAAGAAUUCGCAACAUGAGGAAACAAUGUCUUUUUCUGUUUCUUUAAUUUUGUAUCUAUGUGCUAUGAUGGCUCAUGACCAUUUCAUGCUGUAUGUGAGUCAGAUCCUUGUACUGUACAUCUUAAACAUAUACAUUGCUCUGUUCCAUUAUAUCCAAAAACUGGAAGGAAAAAAAAGAACAUGGGGUUUGAUAGCAAAGGCCUGGUUGAAGUAUUGUUGUAGCCACUUCCUGCCAAACCACCUCGUGCAAGCUACUCCCUCCUCCCCCAGCCUUUGCUCAACCUGAGUAGUGUGGGGAGAGCUCUGAAAGGGCCGUGUCUGGGCCUUAUCCAUCAACUUUUCAUUUGAGCUUCCAUAUGUGGAUAUACCUCAGAGACCAGAUCCUGGCAAAUUAUUCUUGUUUUGUCACCGUAUGAUGCCCCAGCGUCUUUACAAAUUAGAGAUGUUUUCCUUUAGUUUUGAGGAGUACAUGGGGAUGUUGCACACACCCUCCAGAGUCUGGAAGUACAGGUGCACAUCCUGAGAAGUUCAUACCUUCACUUGGAAGCGGGGUUUCAGGUGUUGGCCAAAGCAGGUCACUGUCUAAGGGAGAGGCACUCAUGUGGCCCUGACUCAGGGCUGCCUCUCCAUCCUGUAGUUAUGCUGUGGACAUGGUGCUACCUCCUUGCUCGGUGCUCUGUUGCUGCUUUUCUUACCUGAGGGUUCACUUUGGCAGAUUUCUUUUCUCAGCUCUUUCACCUUUCUUGAUAGAGUAUCUGGUGUUGUCACUGAGGGCCCUGCUUCCCAUGGGGAAUCUGGCUGGUGUGUGUGCAGGGGCCAUUCAGACAAGGCAGUUUUGAAGGGGGCGUUACAAAAUUUUGUGAGAGUUCCUGAAGUGACUCAUUGGGUUAAGGCCCUGACAUAGUCUCUGUGAGGAUGCAGGUUCAAUCCCUGGCCUCGCUCAGUGGGUUAAGGAUCUAGCAUUGCUGUGGCUAUGGUGUAGGCCAGCGACUGUAGCUCUGAUUCGACCCCUAGCCUAGGAACCUCCAUAUGCCUCGGGUGCGGCCGUAAAAAGGAAAAUAAAAAGUUAUGGUCUGCUUCCCCAUUGGAUCACCUCAGGUGCCUACUUAUAAAGGAGGAGGAUUUACUGGUGGGCUGAUGGAGUUGCGGUCUAUCAUUAAUUUGGAUAAAACUUUUUUGUGUGUGUGUCUUCCAGAGCUUACGCGUAGUCUGAAAGGGAAACUUUAAGUAAGUAGUCACACUUCUGUGUGCGGUCUACAGUGAAAGGGGAAAUGGAAGGUUUGAGGGGCUCUGAAGGACUGCGGGGAUCUGUCUGCCUGGUGCCCCUUUUCUAGGACUCAUCCCUAGUACCCAGCCUUCCACAGGGUUAUUACAAGUGGAACCAAUGCCAGGGUCAUUGAUUGGUUCAAAGGCGAGCAGACUAUCAGACUGGAGCUGUAACUACUUCCCCGGGAAUUUUGGAAAUGGACCAGAGGCAGGAAGGCUGAGGACUCUGGCGUCUAAACAGUAAUCUUUACCAUCAGAUUUCCUUUUUUGCUUCAGUAGUAUGGGUUGAGUUUCUGUUGGGUAACAUCAGAGCAGAUCUUUGUAGCACAGGGACCUAGUCCAAAUCCAGGAAUCAGGGCAAGUCGCCUACAACAUGUGUUUACACAGCCUUGUGACUGUUGCUUAGAUUCCAGGAUAACCUGCACAUGAUCCCCUGACCUGAGCGCAGCUGGGCUUGGCUUCUGUUUCUCCCUAGGAUGGAUUUGUUCAUUCAGGUGAAGGCCUGUGGUGUUUUAGGAAUGAUCCCAGGACCUGGGAAAUGUAUGAUGCCCUGGCCCUUAGAGCAGCUUUUGCUCUUUCCUGAGCCACUUGCUCACACUGGCAUGUGCCCUGUUGUUUGUUUCCUCCUAGGUUUUGGUUACAUUACGGGUUAUGUAGGUUAUGGUCAGGUUUUGGUUAGGUUACGGGUUACAUAGAUUUUGGUGGGGGAGUCUGGGAAACUGACUUCCCUGUGACGCUGUCUAUGGUUAGUGCAUUUCCUAGUUGGUGGGGAAGAGAAUUUGUGCCCUUAGGCUGUAGUGGUUCAUAAAUGCAACAAGUACUUUUUCAGUACCUUCUCUGUGCUGGCACUGUGCCAAACUUUGGGAACAGUAACAAAAGAUACUGAAAAGGCCCCACUGUCAGGGAGCCUCAAUUCUAAUGGCGGGAGAUGGGCGAUAAAGAGGGGAUGAACAGAUAACGUAGUUGGUGAUAUGCCACGAAGAAAGUCAAGAGGAAGUGGUGGGGGAGGAGGACUGCGUGGGGAUGGAGCGUGACUUUCGGUGGAAAGGCAGCCGGAAAAGGAAGGUUUUCAGGUGACCAGGGAAGGAAGGGACCGUGGUGCCUCCAGGCACCUGCCCUCCAGAGCACCUGCUGUGAGAUGGAAAGGAUGGAUGUGUGGGUCUCAGGCUCUGAGGAGUCAGUGUGCUGUAUACCUGGACUGUCCCCACAUGGGACCACCAGCCACAGGUGGCUCCUGACCAAAUCCUGACCACGGGGCUAGUCCAAAUCAAAAUGUUCUCUAAAUGUAAAAUAUACACCAGGUUCCAAAGGCGUAUUAUGAACAAAAGAACGUAAACCUUUUCAAUAUUUUUUAUAUUGAUUGCACAAUGGAUUGAUUCUGUUUUGUCAUAUUGGGUAUAUAAAAUAUGUGAUUAAAAGAAAUUUCACUGAAGUUCCCAUCAUGGCGCAGCAGAAACAAAUCUGAUUAGGAACCAUGAGGUUGCGGGUUCAGUCCCUGGCCUUGCUCAGUGGAUUAAGGAUCCAGCGUGGCCAUGAGCUGUGGUGUAGGUCACAGACCCAGCUCGGAUCCCGCGUUGCUGUGGCUGUGGUGUAUGCUGGCAGC
rnacentral:lncRNA from 1 species